GAUCAGGAUGCCAGAAAAGCAGUUAUUUAUGGUUUUUGAAAAUGAUUCGGAAUCAUAUCAGUUCACGUUAAAAAUCACUUUGUGCCAUGGAAUUUAAAAUCACAUCCUUCUGCUGGGAACAGUGCCAUUUUCACCCAAUAAAAAAGAAGCUAAACGAAUAUGUGAGCUGCUACAAGCCGGGAAAGAUAGUGGCACUAAGAAUAAUCACAUCCUCAGUACAUUUUGAAUAAAAACUAAACUGCCAAAAAUUACUACCUCCGAGAAGAAACUAGGGUUGUUAAUAAUUAUUGCCACUGAAAGAGAAAAUUCCAGGGCUUGAUUCAAUCAGUUGAGAGUAUUGAAGAGCAGAACGGAGGCUUUUCUGAGAAAGAAGAAAUUCCACCUGCAGACAGCAGCUCAGCUCUUACAUGAGUCCUGGACUGCCCUUCCUGACAGCCUGCCCUGCGGACUUUGGACCUGCCCAGCCAGCUCUCACUGUCACCCACGUGACACCCUCAUGCCGCUGGUCCUGCCUGAAAUGUUGGCCCUUGAUUCCUUUUAAUUCCCCGCGUGCUGACCUGACGAUCCCAUGGCAAGAGGGGCCGACGGCCGUGAUGACGAGGGGCCACCUGGCAUGUGCCGGGCAGAGGGAGCUCCUUCCACACCAGGCCGACGGGACGGGGCAAACAGAAGCAGCUCGAUUUCCUUCCAGAAAACUCGGCUUGCACAGGUCUGCCAAGUAAACAUUCUGGAUCCAAACCACCGCGAGGGAAGUGUUUGUGUGCCUGCAGUUGGAUGAGAAGAGGAGCCUGCUGGGGCUGAGGACUGCAGGGCGCCGAUGCAUCCAGCAGGGCGUUAAAAGCACAGCGACCAUCACAGAACACUCCUCACCGUGGGCUCCGGUCUGCGCAGCGUCCCCUCUGUCAGGGGGACGGCGUGACCUUUACGAGGAAGGUCCAGCGUGCAACCAGCUGCCUCUGAAAUGGAACUGUUUAAAACCAGCACCGACUGGGGGCGCUGGGGGGCUCGGUCGGUCAAGCAUCUGACUCCUGAUGUCGGCUCAGGUC